rnacentral:sRNA from 1 species
UAACGAUGAUAAAGCGUCAUCCCAGGAAG